UCCUCCCGCCUCAGCCCCCUAAGUAGCUGGGACUACAAGCACUUGCCACCACGCCUGGCCAAUUUUUAAAAAAAAUUUUUAUAGAGAUGAGGUCUUGUUAUGUUGCCUGGGCUGGUCAUGAGCCACUGCACCUGGCCCAUAUUUUUUUUUUUUUUUUUUUGAGAUGGCGUCUGUCUCUGUCACUACUAGGAUUACAGGUGCCCACCACCAUGCCCAGCUAAUUUUUGUAUUUUUAGUAGAGACAUGGUUUUACCAUAUUGGCCAGGCUGGUAUCAAACUCCUGACAUUGUGAUCCACCUGCCUCGGCCUCCCAAAGUGCUGGGAUUACAGGCAUGAGCCACAGCGCCCAGGCCCAUUAUGAAAUAUUUUUCAUCCAUGGUUGGUUGAACUCAUAGAUGCAGAACUCGUGCAUACAGAGGGCACACUGUACUGUACUUUAUUUUAUGUUUUUUUUUUGAGACAGGGUCUUGCUCUGUUGCCCAUGCUGGAGUGCAGUGGCACGAUCUCAGCUAACUGCAACCUCUGCCCUGGGUUCAGGCAAUUCUUCUACCUCAGCCUCCCCAGUAGCUGGGACUACAGGUGUGCGCUACCAUGCCCAGCGAAUUUUUGUAUUUUUUGGUAAACGUGGUUUCACCAUGUUGGCCAAGCUGAUCUCAAACCUCUGGCCUGAAAUGAUCCACCCGCCUCAGCCUCCCAAAGUGUUGGGAUUAUAGGUGUGAGCCACUGUGCCCCGCUGUACUCAGAGUUGAGUUAUUCAGUACUUUAUGUGACCUGCUGAUUUUUGUGUGCACUGGCAUUUGGCUCUAGGAAAUUAUUUCCUUUGCUUUCAGUCCUGUGCCUGUUGCCGCAGCCCCCUUCCCACCCAGACCCCGGGCU
rnacentral:lncRNA from 1 species